UCUUGUAAUCGGAUUCGAUCAUAUCAAACUCAAUCAGAGUCGAACUGAAUCUAAUUCAAUUAAACUUGAUUCAAAGCUCUUUGUUCAAUUAAAUUGAGUCAAUUAGUAAUCUAAUUACUAAUUAAUUCUCUAAAAAUAGUAAAAUUUUAGUUCCAAUGAGAUUUUCUCUCAGAAUCCUAGUCUGAGUAGGACUCUUCACGAGAGUCACAAUCCAAUUAGACUCUUUAGCCAUC
rnacentral:lncRNA from 1 species